UGAUGAUGUUGCCAAACUUACUGUGAAGUAAGGUCGGAAAGCCACGGAUCUUCUGGGUUUGAUUUGAAGAUGGCCGGGUUGCAUUG
rnacentral:ncRNA from 1 species